GAAUGUUGCUUGGGCAUUAAAGACUUGUGCAGCAUCAUGCUUGCUGACUUGGAACUAUAGGUUUCUGUUGAGUUAGAAAGCUCACAUCGCUUUGACGCACUUGCCUUGACUCUGCAGUGAGUCUGAAUCCGGACAGUGGCGCUCACUCCUCCUCCCCUCGCGCGCAUCUUCCGAGGCAUUAGGAAACAAGACGCACUUUUUUCUAUCUGUCAAACAGUCAUGAACUGGACACUGCUCGUAUUGGGUAGUGUGUGCUUACUUGUCCUCGGACAGGACGCGUUCGUUCACGGGAAGCGCAACGCUCGGACGGUGACUUUCUCUCGGGCUGCACGCGGACACCCGAGACACAGACGGGACACCUGGACUGGACAAGCGCGUUUCACAGCAUGCAAGUCUCCACUGUCACCCAGAGACCAAGCGCUUCUUCUCAGCCACACGCACGAGACCGUGUUUCAAGGUGAUGAAGGAUCCAGUUUUACCCUCACAUGGGUUGGAGAUGGAACUGGGGUAAUCCUGGUCCUUUCUACACUGAGCACUCCCUCUGACUCAUUUUAUGAAGGCGGUUCAUCACGUCUUUACAGGAGUGAAGACUAUGGAAAGUCUUUUCAUGAUGUCUCCAAUGCCAUUAAAAAUACAUUCAUAAAGAAGGACUUUGGGAUAAGUGCUGGGCCUGGGAACCCGCAACAGGUGAUUCUAACAGCCAACCUGCCUUUCACCGAGACCCCAGGAGGAGUUAUUUUUACGUCAAUGGAUGCUGGUGUGACGUUCAGAUCAGUGCAGCUUCCAUUCCAUCCAGCUCAGGCCAUUCAGUUCCACUACCAAGAACCAAGAUACCUCGUGGCCAUCAGCAAUGACGAUGGGCUAUGGCUCUCAGAAGACUUUGGGAACAGCUGGUCUAAAGUUCAUGAAGGAGUUCAUACGUUCACAUGGGGAUCUGGAAUCACUCUUUUCUUCAGUUCCAGCCCAAAAGGAACUGUGGAGGCAGCGAGACGAGGCAAGCUUAUUCUAAGACGGACGCAGGAUUUCGGCAAAACCUUCACCACCAUCGCCAAGAACAUCUUCUCCUUCAGAUAUAUCGGUGGCUUCCUGUUUACCUCUGUCAUGGAAAAACUGGCCUCUCCCCGUGUCAUCUAUGUGUCCUCGGACCAGGGUGACCAUUUCCAAAAAGCUCAGCUACCAUCAGCAACUACAGAGCAGUUCCACUCCAUUUUGGACGGCGACGAGGACAUGAUCUUCAUGCAUGUGGACAACCCUGGAGACACACAUUUUGGGACAAUCUACACCUCUGAUGACCGUGGAAUCCUGUAUUCGAAGUCUUUGGAGCGCCACAUGUUCGGCAGCGAGGGGGAGAGCGAUUUCACUAACGUUACAUCUUUGAGAGGAGUCUAUUUCACCAAUAGACUGGAGGAGGAUGGACGCAUUCGUUCAGUCAUUUCGUUCGACAGAGGUAGACGAUGGAGAUUCCUGAAGAAGCCAGAGAAUGUGAAUUGUCCAAACAGCUCAAAAAAGUGUAACCUGCAUAUCCACGGAGAGCACAGUCACUUCAGUGGAAUCACUCCCAUGCUGCCUCUCUCUGAACCUACCGCCAUUGGUCUGAUCAUCGCUCAUGGUAGUGUCGGUGACUCCAUUUCAGCCGCUCGGCCGGAUGUGUACGUGUCUGGGGACGGAGGUUACACCUGGUGGGGGACUCUGAGAGGACCUCACCACUACACCAUCCUGGACUCUGGAGGCCUGAUAGUGGCUGUGGAGGCGCAUAGAGACAGACAGAUCAGCUCAAUAAAGUUUUCCACAGAUGAAGGACAGUGCUGGAAAAUAUUUAAUUUCACCAGCCACCCGAUCUUAUUGGCCGGACUGGCAUCCGAGCCGGGCACUAAGACAAUGAAUAUCAGCAUUUUCGGCUACCGACCAGAUGAUGAUGAUCAGCCCAUGUGGGUGGCUGUCACCAUAGACUUUGAGCACCUGCUCACUAGAGAAUGUGAUGAACAGGACUAUGUGCAGUGGUUGGCGCACUCUGACUAUGACUCUGACCCAGAAACAGAUGGAUGCCUCUUGGGCUACAAAGAAACAUUUCGAAGACUGAAGAAACUGUCAGCAUGUAGAAAUGGGAGAGGAUAUGUGGUCAGCAGGCAGCAGCACCCUUGUCCUUGCACUAGAGAUGAGUACAUGUGUGAGUACGGUUUCUAUCUGCAUGAAAACACCUCAGAGUGUCUCCUGCAACCAGACUUCUUGAAUCAAACACAGUAUAUUAGCUUAAAUGGGGAGCUAGAUGACCUUCAGAAUACAGGGUAUCGUAAGAUUCCUGGUGAUAAAUGUGAGGGGGGUUUCAGCCCUCCGAGAAGAGAAGGGAAGGACAUUUUAUCAGCCUCCUCAAAAUCUCACAGUGUGAGUGGCCCAUUUGUCAUGACAAUAAUUAUUGACUAUACAGUGGCCAAAAAACAUGAAAUAAAAUUACUUAUCAUGUAUGUUACAAUACAAAGAACAUAAAUACAGUUUGCUUAACCAAUAUGAGGAAAAGUGCUGUAUUUCUAAAUAUCAAUAUGAAUUUCAUUCAGAAAUGAAUCAGAGCUUUAAAAGAAUACAUAAAGAGAAACAGAGUUGAUGAACUGGAUUCAUUAUACAUUUAUUGUCUUUCUAUUGGCAGCUGGGCAUGCUGGUUCUUAUUGUGGUGUGUACUUGUGUGGGAGUCAUAGGUUUGGUUAUUACUGCAGCUUUAAUAAUCACUUCAAGGAGAAUAAACUGUAGGCAAAGGUCACCUGCUUAUCGCUUCUCUGCUCUGCAACUCCAAGAUGAUGAUCUGUCCGUUAGCAAUGACAGCAGGCCCGAUGGCAAACUAAAUGGUUUCCACAUCCAGGAGGAUUCCGAUGAUGAACUCAUUGAAUGAACAACAUUUAAACUCUAGGAACUACUCCUGAUUUUCAGACAAGUGUGAAUUGUUUCAAAUGAAUCUCAAACCCAGGCACUGUAACCGGACAAUAAACGCUUGGAAAUAAUGGUGAACUACAUUUUUCAAGCCGAGGCAAAUGAUAUCAGGUUCUUAUUUUGUCCUAUGAAGUGUCUUAUACAGGAUUAUCAUUAUGAGUGAAUUUAUUUUCACCCUCUUUGUCUUUUGCACUGGAAUCAUUCGCAUUUCCUCAGGCUGCUGCCGGCAGUCCUCCUUGA